rnacentral:tmRNA from 1 species
GGGACUGACUGGAUUUGACUGCAAGAUGCGUUGAAUGGUAAGCAUGUCGAGCAUUGUUUUUUGGCUCGUAAAAAUCAAGAUUCAAAUUUUUAAUUGGCGAGUCUAACUACGCUUUAGCUGCUUAAUUUAAUAAUUAAGCUGGCUUUUGUCUCUUUUAAAGGACCUCCUGAUUCCUUUAAUAUUGAGGCAUUAUUAACUUCAGGAUAGCUGAUUUAUGUCUUCUUUAAUGAUGCGAAAUUUUAUGAAGAUAAGGAUUGGGUUUGGUUGCUUUUUUCCUACCUUUUCUCGAAAAUAAAAUAAGAUAAACAUGUAGAAAUCUUUUUAAUUCCUUGUUAGGACGUGGGUUCGAAACCCACCAGUUCCACUA